rnacentral:rRNA from 1 species
CUUCGUGCUACUGAUGGUGAUCCCCUCCCUGACCCAACGCGUUAUCGUCAUCUUGUUGGCAGUCUUGUCUAUCUAGCUGUCACUCGUCCGGAUAUCUCUUAUCCGGUUCAUAUUCUGAGUCAGUUCGUCUCUGCUCCCACAUCGGUUCACUAUAGCCAUCUCCUUCGUGUUCUUCGAUAUCUUCGAGGCACAAUCUCUCACCGUCUAUUCUUUCCUCGCUCCAGUUCUUUACAGCUUCAGGCCUAUUCAGAUGCUACAUGGGCUAGUGAUCCUUUAGAUCGCCGUUCACUUUUUGCUUACUGUGUUUUUCUUGGUGGUUCUCUCAUUGCCUGGAAGACGAAGAAACAGAUUGCAGUUUCCCGUUCGAGUGCAGAGGCUGAGUUGCGAGCAAUGGCUCUUUUGACGGCAGAGGUGACUUGGUUACGGUGGUUACUUCAGGAUUUUGGUGUUUCU